GUGGUAAGGGGUGAAAGGCCAACCAAAUUCGUAGAUAGCUGGUUUUCCGCGAAAACUAUUUAGGUAGUGCGUUGAAUAAAUAGAUGUUUAGAGGUAGAGCACUAAAUGGGCUAGGGGGAAGAGAUUCUUACCAAACCUAAUAAAACUCCGAAUGCUAAACAUUGUUCUUCAGCAGACAGACUGUGGGUGCUAAGGUCCAUGGUCGAGAGGGAAAGAGCCCAGACCACCAGAUAAGGUCCCAAAAUUAUGAUUAAGUGUGAAAGGAUGUGGAAAUUCCUUAACAGCCGGGAGGUUGGCUUAGAAGCAGCCAUCCUUUAAAGAUAGCGUAACAGCUCACCGGUCUAAUAGAGUUUCUGCGCCGAAGAUGUAACGGGGCUAAAAUCAUAUACCGAAUCUGUGGAUUUAUAAUUUUUUCGGAAAUUAUAACUGGUAGCGGAACGUUCUGUAAGCCUGUGAAGGGAUACCUGUGAAGGAUCCUGGAGGUAUCAGAAGUGCGAAUGCUGACAUAAGUAACGAUAAAAGAAGUGAAAAACUUCUUCGCCGAAAAUCCAAGGGUUUCUGCGCAAGGUUAAUCCGCGCAGAGUUAGUCGGCACCUAAGGCGAGGGCGAAAGCCGUAGUCGAUGGAAAUAAGGUUAAUAUUCCUUAACCAGAUGGUAGUGACGAAUCUUGUAAGUUGUGAACUCUUAAUGGAUUGAGUUUGCCGCGAAAAGGUUCCAAGAAAUAGCUCCAUCAUAAGACCGUACCCUAAACCGACACAGGUGGAUUAAUAGAGUAUAUUUAGGCGCUUGAGAGAAUGAUGUUGAAGGACUCGGCAAAAUGCUUCCGUAACUUCGGAAUAAGGAAGACCUUUUUUUAGGCAACUAUUAAAAGGUGGCACAAGCCAGGGAGAAGCGACUGUUUAUCAAAAACACAGGGCUCUGCUAACACGUAAGUGGAUGUAUAGGGUCUGACGCCUGCCCGGUGCUGGAAGGUUAAUGCGAUGGGUGCAAGCUCAUUUCUGAAGCCCCAGUAAACGGCGGCCGUAACUAUAACGGUCCUAAGGUAGCGAAAUUCCUUGUCGGGUAAGUUCCGACCUGCAUGAAUGGCGUAACGAUUUCUCCGCUGUCUCCAACAUCAACUCAGUGAAAUUGAAUUCUCCGUGAAGAUGCGGAGUUCGCGUAGUUAGACGGAAAGACCCCGUGCACCUUUACUGCAACUUUACAUUGGUGUUAGGAAAAACAUAUUUAGCAUAGGAGGGAGACAUUGAAGCAAAAGCGUCAGCUUUUGUGGAGUCACCAGUGAAAUACCUCUUUUGUUUUUCUUGAUAUCUAA
rnacentral:rRNA from 1 species